rnacentral:lncRNA from 1 species
GCUCUGCCCUGUUUCCGACGCUGGACCUGGGCGGCGGCAGCCCCUCGCGCCGUGGAGUUUGGUCCCCAGAUAGCCUCAGGGAGCGCAGACCCCUGGCGCUGCCGCUCCUUCUGCGACCCGACACUGAGGUCGCACAGAACAACCUCGGUCCCCAAGCCAACUCGGCCUGCCCCCAUCAAGCCAAAGUGUGGCUUGAGACACCGAAGCUGUUCGCAACUUCUCCCAGAAAAAGGAAAACCCGGGCCCCACACACUGGUUUCUGUGUCCCAAAACACCCAGCAGGGGGCGGGGAAGAGAGAGCAUUUUGGGAAAUGGUUGGGAAAGGGCAUGAUGAAAGCCAUUCCCACAGCUGAGAUUGGUAGGGAACGGGCCACCAGGCCACCAGCUUUCGGGGAGAAAACAAAACAAUCCCCUGGUGUGGCCCUUUCAGACAAAACUGAAGAAGAAAGAUGUCCUGAGAAAUCUUAAAGAGAGGCAGUGUCUCUGUGUGGAGCCCACACCCACGCGCAAGUUCAGUCUGACUGCUCCAAGAACAAGGAAGGGCGUCACUCCUUCGUGGAAAGGGGCGGGCAAGGCCACAAUCGCAAGUAGGAGAGAGGACACACAUCCAAAACCAAGCCGAAGAGAAGUGGAGGGCUUUCUCGGGAGAAGAGAGAGGGAGGGAAAGACGGGCAUCUCUCAGUACAUAAACCACAAAGACCGGCUCCCAAAGGACCCCAGAAAGGAUGCCAUGGUCUUUGAAAAGUAACCAAGGCCAGACAUGCACCACAGCCUCUCUAUUCUAUUUAACUUCCCCCUGGCAGGGGAUAGACGACUUUUAGGAUCGGUGGCUUCUCCUGCAGAAUAAACGCGAUGCUAAUGAACAACUUGGUGACAUACAGAUCAUGACCUCAGACUCCAGCCUAGGUCAGCCGGAGCCUGCCCUCUGCAGCCAGAGGCCAACUGAGCAAAUUUUCUGUACCACGCUCCCACCUCUGCUGUACCCCACGCAGGGUCUUUAGGCUGAGUUCAUAAGGCACCCGGUGUCCUGACUGCCACGGGAAGCAGACUCAUCCUGGUGAGCAAAUGUUUGGGGUUGUUCUAUAAAACCCAAAGAAAAACCACAGUAAGUAACAGUAUUCCAGAAGGUUCUAGAUGUGCACACUUUGCCUUCAAAUACUAACGCCAUUCAUCCAGUGUGUGUGCUUGGCACAGAGCUGGACGGUGGGGGUCCAAUGAAAGGGCAGCCCCUCCCUGAGCCUGGAUGCUGCCUCACAGAAAGAGGCAAAGAAAGACGUUUCUGUCCUCCCCUGGGCAGCCAGCCCACCCAGGCCCUCCCAGCCCACCC